UAAAUAUAUUUUGUUAUAUUUAGGGGCCAGGCAUCAAAGGUGUGAUGGCACCUGUUGUAUCCGUUAUUCUUCCACUCUGGGAGUCUAUGGCAGUCCAUAGAACCGCUUGCGGGAAAGUUUUGAAAUUUGGCAAAAUGACAGAAGACAGUCCCGUUAUUAACUACAGCAAAUUUGGAGUUUCUGGAUCAAAGAAGAAAAUCCAAAGAAGAGCAUGCCAAAUUGGACACAAACUAGACUACACACCUGAGAGCCACACUCUCCCCCAACAGUGCAGGAAGGGCCGGAGGCUCCAACAUCACCCUGAGCUCUGAGAGACACAGACAGAACACAGCAGGUUGUAUUCUGAAGCCGUUCUCUCCCCGCAACACAAAACACGCCCAGCCAUUCGGAUCAUCGUCCACCUGCAGCACCAGGUUUCUUCCAUCGCCUUUGGACAUCACAGCGCCACCUAUAGAUGGAAAGAGCUGAGCGUGAGGCUCCAGCUCUGAAAGAGAAAGAGAUUAUGAGAAACAGCAGGAGAAACAGAUGAUCGUGAGGGAACGUUUGGUGUUGUUUAGGAUGGUGUUCAUACCCAGGACAAUCAGAGUGAUGUCAUCUCCAACAAACACAUCUGGGAACCUCGGCAGGAGAGACACUGAGAGAAAGAAAACAGAUACUUAAGAGACACGUCUUCUGUAACGCCAGGAGUCAUGCUGUUCGGUCUUCAGCGGACACACCCUGCAGCGUUUACUCUUGACAUUCUCGAGGGACUACGACAGGAACUACUCUGGACCAUGUUGGAGCUUCAUUAUAAAUGACCAUCAGUUGAGUGUUUGUGUCCAAAGUCCAGAUAAUCCACGACCACACCAGGAUUUCAUUUUAGAUGUAUUACAGAACAUUUGUCUUUCAUUACAACUUAUUCCAUAAAUCUUGAUUCUUAUUUGUCAAUUGCAACAUUCGUUGGUAAAAUUUCUGAAUAUUGAUCAGAACAUGCUGUAUAAACUUUUUGGGUCCAAACAUCUUAGACCACUAUCGGCAUAGUAAAAUAAACCUGCAGCUGUAAAUUAAAUCUGUUUAUCAUAUAAGUAAUCGAGUCUCUUCAGAAAAUCUCUUAAUGAACUUUUUGAAGCGUCAGUGUGGUAGU